AUAUAUUAUGUUGAUAGUGAUAUGUGAGAUAAAAUAAAUUAUUAAUUUUAUUAAAAUUUAAAAAUAGAUUAUUUUUAGUAAUGUAAAUAGGCAUACAAAAAUUAAAAAUGAAAGUAAGAAAAUGCGGAAAAAAUAUGAGAGAUAUUUUAAAUUUUAAUCAAGAGAGAGAAUGAGCCGAUAUAAUAUUUAAUUAUGAUUUAAUCGAUGAAGGUUGGAAAAUAAAUGACACAUGUCAUAUUUUUAUAUUUUUAUAGAAGAUAAAAAUAUAAAAGAUAAACAUUAUUUGAUUAUUUAAAUAUAUUUUUCUUAAUAUAAAUAAUUUACAGUGAAAUAACAAUUUUUAAAGUUCAUACCAUUAAUUAUUAAUGGAUUGAUAGUUGAUGAACGGGACAAGUUUGCCCAUAAAUAUCGAUUUAAAUCCCUAAUUUAUGUUAGUUUUUUCAUGUGUAUUAUGAACUGUACAGGUUUAUUUAGAAGUAAAUAUUGAUUUAUAGAAAGUGAAAAAUUGAUUGAAGUUUAGAGCGAAAAAUGUUUGAAAGCAAAGGAAAAGUCGCGCAGAAAAUUUGGAAUUAAGAUAUAUAAUGAGGCUAUGUUUUAGGAAAUGGCCUUUGCGUGUGCCCUUCAUUUGUUGGUUAUCUAUCCAUUAUUUAAUUUGGUAUAUUACUAGUACUGUUUUAAUACCGGAAGUGUUUUUACUCUUUUAUUUAACUGUAUAUAUGCAAAGCAUGGAUAAAAUACAAACCGAUGGGCACAUGGGCUGUAUCUAUAUCUCUUUUUCUU
rnacentral:lncRNA from 1 species